rnacentral:rRNA from 1 species
GAGCGAACGCUGGCGGCAGGCUUAACACAUGCAAGUCGAGCGGGCAUCCUUGUGGUGUCAGCGGCAGACGGGUGAGUAACGCGUGGGAACGUGCCCUUCGGUUCGGAAUAACUCAGGGAAACUUGAGCUAAUACCGGAUACGUGCGAGAGCAGAAAGGUUUAUCUGCCGAAGGAUCGGCCCGCGUCUGAUUAGCUAGUUGGUGAGGUUAUGGCUCACCAAGGCGACGAUCAGUAGCUGGUCUGAGAGGAUGAUCAGCCACACUGGGACUGAGACACGGCCCAGACUCCUACGGGAGGCAGCAGUGGGGAAUAUUGGACAAUGGGGGCAACCCUGAUCCAGCCAUGCCGCGUGAGUGAUGACGGCCUUAGGGUUGUAAAGCUCUUUUCUCCGGGACGAUAAUGACGGUACCGGAGGAAUAAGCCCCGGCUAACUUCGU